UGACUGGAUGAACAAGGUGAUGGCCGA
rnacentral:piRNA from 1 species